AUUCCACGGGGUCCGUGCCGCAGCUAACGCAUUAAGCGCCCCGCCUGGGGAGUACGGCCGCAAGGCUAAAACUCAAAGGAAUUGACGGGGGCCCGCACAAGCGGCGGAGCAUGCGGAUUAAUUCGAUGCAACGCGAAGAACCUUACCAAGGCUUGACAUAUACCGGAAAUCCUCAGAGAUGGGGGCCCCGCAAGGUCGGUAUACAGGUGGUGCAUGGUUGUCGUCAGCUCGUGUCGUGAGAUGUUGAGUUAAGUCCCGCAACGAGCGCAACCCUCGUUCUAUGUUGCCAGCACGUGAUGGUGGGGACUCAUAGGAGACUGCCGGGGUCAACUCGGAGGAAGGUGGGGAUGACGUCAAAUCAUCAUGCCCCUUACGUCUUGGGCUUCACGCAUGCUACAAUGGCCGGUACAGAGGGCUGCGAUACCGUGAGGUGGAGCGAAUCCCUUAAAGCUGGUCUCAGUUCGGAUUGGGGUCUGCAACUCGACCCCAUGAAGUCGGAGUCGCUAGUAAUCGCAGAUCAGCAACGCUGCGGUGAAUACGUUCCCGGGCCUUGUACACACCGCCCGUCAAGUCACGAAAGUCGGUAACACCCGAAGCCG
rnacentral:rRNA from 1 species